rnacentral:rRNA from 1 species
GUGGGGAAUAUUGGACAAUGGGCGAAAGCCUGAUCCAGCCAUGCCGCGUGUGUGAAGAAGGUCUUCGGAUUGUAAAGCACUUUAAGUUGGGAGGAAGGGCAGUAAUUUAAUACCUUGCUGUUUUGACGUUACCAACAGAAUAAGCACCGUCUAACUUCGUGCCAGCAGCCGCGGUAAUACGAAGGGUGCAAGCGUUAAUCGGAAUUACUGGGCGUAAAGCGCGCGUAGGUGGUUUUGUAAGUUGGAGGUGAAAUCCCCGGGCUCAACCUGGGAACUGCCUCCAAAACUGCAUGACUAGAGUACGGUAGAGGGUAGUGGAAUUUCCUGUGUAGCGGUGAAAUGCGUAGAUAUAGGAAGGAACACCAGUGGCGAAGGCGACUACCUGGACUGAUACUGACACUGAGGUGCGAAAGCGUGGGGAGCAAACAGGAUUAGAUACCCUAGUAGUCC